GGUAGGGUUAGAGUAGGGUUAAAUUAGGGGUAGAGUUAGGGAUAGGGUUAGGUGUAGGGUUAGGGUAGGGUUAGGGGUAGGGUUAGUGGUAGGGUUAGGGUUAGGGUUACCCAUAACCCUAUUUCAACCACUAACCCUACCCCCACCCCUACCCCAACCAUUACCCUACCCCAACCCUUAACCCUACCCCUACCCCUAAACCUAACCCUACCUUUACCUCAACCACUAACUCUACCCCAACCCCUAACACCAACCCUCUCCUGUUUUGCC